rnacentral:rRNA from 1 species
UACGUAGGGGCGAGCGUUGUCCGGAAUCACUGGGCGUAAAGGGAGCGUAGGUGGCCUGACAUGUCGACUGUGAAAACCCGGAGCUCAACUCCGGACUUGCAGUUGAAACUGCCAGGCUUGAGGACGGUAGAGGAAGACGGAACUGCCAGUGUAGGGGUAAAAUCCUUAGAUAUUGGCAGGAACGCCGGUGACGAAGGUGGUUUUCUGGGCCGGUUCUGACACUGAUGCUCGAGAGCCAGGGGAGCGAACGGGGAUUAGAUACCCCCGUAGUCCCUGAGCGGG